CAAUGGGUAGUUUGUUGAAUUGGAUUGAAUUUUACUUAACUACAAUAAAUCCUCGUAAACUUCCACAAUAAUAAAUGAAAGUUUGCAAUCAAAUGGUUAAAAAAAAUGCAAAGAUUUUUGGAGAAAAAUGUCUAAAACUGUGUGUAAAACAUAACUUCGUGAAUGUUGGCGGCUAGGUAAAAAAGAGAUCUAAUAUUGUAGCACCGCGACCCCGUGCAAUUUGCGUGCAAGGUCCCGUGUCCAAACUUUGUAAUGUUGCGACAUUGUGCACUAUGCUAAAAAACUAGCCAUUCUUUCUUACAGCUCUGCAACGCCAUGCUUUCUAUGUGCCACAUUGAUUUUUCUUACUCUGUUAACCCCUC
rnacentral:lncRNA from 1 species